rnacentral:rRNA from 1 species
AACGAACGCUGGCGGCAUGCCUAACACAUGCAAGUCGAACGAGACCUUCGGGUCUAGUGGCGCACGGGUGCGUAACGCGUGGGAACCUGCCCUUAGGUUCGGAAUAACUCCCCGAAAGGGGUGCUAAUACCGGAUAAUGUCUUCGGACCAAAGAUUUAUCGCCUUUGGAUGGGCCCGCGUUGGAUUAGCUAGUUGGUAGGGUAAAAGCCUACCAAGGCGACGAUCCAUAGCUGGUCUGAGAGGAUGAUCAGCCACACUGGGACUGAGACACGGCCCAGACUCCUACGGGAGGCAGCAGUGGGGAAUAUUGGACAAUGGGCGAAAGCCUGAUCCAGCAAUGCCGCGUGAGUGAUGAAGGCCUUAGGGUUGUAAAGCUCUUUUACCCGGGAUGAUAAUGACAGUACCGGGAGAAUGAGCUCCGGCUAACUCC